UACGUAGGGUGCAAGCGUUAAUCGGAAUUACUGGGCGUAAAGCGUGCGCAGGCGGUGAUGUAAGACAGAUGUGAAAUCCCCGGGCUCAACCUGGGAAUUGCAUUUGUGACUGCAUCGCUGGAGUGCGGCAGAGGGGGAUGGAAUUCCGCGUGUAGCAGUGAAAUGCGUAGAGAUGCGGAGGAACACCGAUGGCGAAAGCGGCUUUCUGGUCCUUAACUGACGCUGAGGCGCGAAAGCAUGGGGAGCGAACGGG
rnacentral:rRNA from 1 species